AUGUGCGUUUGCUCAACUAUACCCACACGAUAUCCUUUGGUGUGUCCUUGGGAGUCUGAAAAGUCUUUGGUCUGGCCUUAUUGGCUCUCUCCGCCAGAGGCCUAUAAUGAAUCAGUCGGAAAGAGGAUUCCGCAGUGUUUUUCUCCGGUUCGGAUAAACACAUGUUUUUUCCAUUCACCCUCUCAAGGAAGCACCAAGCUUGCUUCCAGCUAAGAGGGCCGAAGGGGUGCCAGACACAUGGAAACAAGCCACUGCUGAUGGAAAAUCUAGAUAGACAAAGAAUAGAGCUUCAAAAUGUGUCAUUGACUGCCACAUUGAGAAAAGACAUGCUAACUGGUUCUGGUGCCUAAUCAACACUAUCAGUUGCUUCUGAACACCUUACUGCAGCUUUAAGGUAUGCUUGUACCAUUCAGAAGUUUGGGGUCAGUAAGGGCUUUUUUAUGUAUUUAUGCAUUUGUUUGUUUUUGAUAUACAUUAAUACCUUAUUCAGCAAGGAUGCAUUAAAUUGAUCAAAAGUUCAGACUAAAGAUCAAAACCUCUGACUUAAAAAAAAAGUCUGAUAAACUUUGUAUUUAUCAAAGAAUUCUGGAAAAAAGUAGGCCUAUAAUGGUUUCCACAACAAAAUAUGAAGCAGGACAACUGUUUUUAACAUUCAUAAUAAGAAAUUAUAUAUUUUUUUUAAAGCUAAAUUUCACAACUUUUCAUUUUGGUUAAUAUCACCAAGGCUGUUUACUUUUUCCAUCCCCCUUUUUCCAAUCACCUGGUCCAUUCAGGUAUGCCACAUCCACAUUUUAUGAUUCCUUUUGUUUUACUUUGAGAUGCAUGAAACGAUGGAAGUAAAAUGGGUUUUUAAGUGACAGACAUACACAGGAAUGCACUAACCAAUUGCGCCACACAAACAGUAUGUCAAGUCAGUUGUAAUAGCACAUCUUGGUUCGAGUGACAAUCCCAUGAUCUUGUGCAUGAGUGUGUGUUUGUAUGCAAGCUGUUUUGUACUGAUGUG
ensembl:lncRNA